rnacentral:tRNA from 1 species
GCGCUCGUAGCUCAGCUGGAUAGAGCAACAGCCUUCUAAGCCGUAGGUCGCAGGUUCGAAUCCUGCCGGGCGUACCA